ensembl:lncRNA
CAGCCUCAGCCUCGUUUUUCCUGCUCCAGGUAAACCUUUCCUUCUUUUCACUGCACAGCUACACCUGGUGUGAAGGGACAGAGAAAUAACUUCUUUUCUUUCUUUUUGUCUUUGUGCUUGGACUGUACUUUUUAAUCUUCCGUGUUGGUCUGGGAGCUGGAACCAGCUUUCUUGCUUUUCCAGUGACAGACCCAAAGACUACAGUUUGAUAUAUUAUGAUCACUUCCCCUUCACUUCCUCUGGUCACCCUCUAGAAGGCAGCAGUCUUUUCUGCUAACCUUCACAGAUACUGAUCAAAGUAUGAGCUCAUCCUGUGGACCAAGCCCUCCAAGGGGUUUGUACCCUGCAGGCAUCAGAUGGACCAUGGUGCGACUUCUGAGUCAGCAAGGAAGAUGGCAGCAUCUGGACAAUAAAUUUUACCGUGGUAGCUUUUGAUAGGGAGCUUGGUCAUCUUGAUUUGUCCGACUGAGGGAUUUGAAGACCACCUUAUGACUCGAUGGAACAGCCAAGACCACUCAGAUUCAGCGGAAGAUCAUCAGUCUUCCAAAACACUGCAAGAGUUGUGCAGUUUCACGUGUGGUCUGACCUGUACUUGUGGAGCUAAUGGGAACUCUGAUGUGUGCAUCUGGUUGAGAAUACUUUGCAGUACCACGCUGAGCACAACCAAACUGCAGAGCCUUCCAAAGAGGUUGGCUGGCCGGCUGAUCACUUUUGCUGUUGCAGUCAUCCUGGGAGCAAAACGUCCACGACAGAAGAUGGGCAGACAUUAAAAGAAGUUGGAAAGAGUCAGAAGUUAACAAAGGAGUGGAAGAUCAUGCAGCUGAAGUGGAAGGAUGUUCUAGAGAUACACUUUUGCUAGUUUCACAGUAUUUUGGAAACAUUAGAAGUUUAGGCUUUCAGUGGGCAUAUCUAAUCAUAAAGAAGAAAAUGAUACUAGUGGUAGCCUUUGUUAGGGUGUCCAUAACUCAGUACUUCCCCUAUUGUCACAGACUUCUAUGUUGGAUUCAUCCAUCCUUAGGUAAUUGUCUAAAACCGACACCAAGAGAUGCCCUCUCAAGUGACCUUUCACUGAUAAAAGCAGGAAACCUGGCUUAAAGCAGGGGCUUAAAAGUUAAAUGGCUACAUUUAAGGGAGAUUAAUUCUACUCCCAGCACUUAAUCUACAUUAAUCAUCAGGGCUCAGUAUCUCAUCUCCAGAAAGACACAUGGAGCAUGCAUCCCAUUCUUGGAUGGGACCUUAUGGGAGCUGGGAUAAACCAUCCUCCAAAGUGUCAGUUCUCUGCACUGCCUACAGAGAGGGAUGAGAGAGCUCUUCAGAAAGGUUCUGCAGAGAUUUUCUUAGAAAAUCAGGCAGGGUGAGUGCAGAUUUUGACCUUUUUGUGGCGGAGGGACAGAGAUUUUCAAGACCAAGUGCCCUUAGCACUGGAUUAAAUGCCUAAAACUAGGCAUUUAAACUAGUCAAAACUAGUCAACUAGGGAAGUACUUAUUUCUACUCAUGGUCUAUUUUGCUUGAAUUAAGGAUUCAAUUUAAGCAUCACCUGUAAAUGUGAAGUUUUUGCCUUCCAAGAUACAGAUGCGUAUAACAGAUAUCUGCCAGAUGGAGGUAGAGCUUCUAGUGGUGUUGCCAUAGGACUGAAGCACACAGUAGGAAGUUUAUUUCAGUUUCAAAAGUGAAGAUUAGUGCAACAGAGGCAAGAAUGAUCUGUCUCUAUUCUCUUUUCUCUCUUGAAUUGACGAACACUCACAAAUCAACUCUCUGAAAGAGUAGAUAACAGCAGGACGAGGGCAAAUGGUUUUAAGCUGAAGGAGGAAAGGUUUAGGUUGGAUGUCAGGGGGAAGUUCUUUACUGUGAGAGUGGUGAGGUGCUGGAACAGGAUGCCCAGAGAGAUUGUGGAUGCCCCAUCCCUGAAGGUGUUCAAGGCCAGGUAGGAUGGGGCCCUGGGCAGCCUGGUCUAGUAUUAAACUGGGAGGUUGGUGGCCCUGCCUGUGGCAGGGGGGUUGUAGAUUCAUGAUCCUUGAGGUCCCUUCCAACCUGGGCCAUUCUAUGAUUCUGUGAUUCUGUGAAAUCAGGAUGACAGUGGGGAAGAGCUGACCUUUUUAUUUACACUAAAUACAUUUAAAUGGUAUAGGGGGAUCAAGAGCAGCAUAUUACUCUGGCCAUGCUACAAAUUUUCUUGCACAAUUUCCUCAAAAGUUGAAUGAAUUUCAAGGCUAACCUGCAUACAUUUUUAAUUAAGAGAAAAGCAUUUAUCUUUUGGAUGGGUGAGAGCACUGAAUCUGACCAACACUCUUCAGAAGCUCCCAGCCCCCUGCUUUAUUCCGUGAACUUACACUCCCAGAAAUGUGGCACGGCUUUAUAUUUCACAGCAUCCAUAACGUGGAUUUAUCAAAGGUCACUAUGGCAACAUUCAGGCAGUCUGAGACAAAUACGAGUAUGAGCAUAGAAACAGGACAAAACAAACUGAAAUCGCCCCGUUCCCACCCUGCCUUGUACCCUGGCCCUCCAGCUCCAAAUUUAGACAACCACUGUUAUUAAUACUCCGGUCGAUAUUACCUCAGUGGAGGUUGAAAAGCAGAAGAGAGUUCACAGCGCUCACAGGGAGAGGAAUAUCACUGCGGUAUAGGCAUGCUACGUGCAUGGGAUCGCUGGGGCUAUGGGUAGCGCUGCAGAAUAAUUGUAUUGGCAUGUGUGAAUUCUGGGAAUCAGAACCUCCUCGUAUUUGUUUUGGCCGGGUUUCCAUGACAAUAAGUGCACUUGCUAUUAAUUCUCUAGUUUAUUACUUGUCUUUAUUCCUUGUAUUUGGGGGAGGGGAUUAUUCACAUCCGCGGUGGAAUUCCAGGCUUUAUGUAGUUAAACCUGAACUUUUUGAGAGUGUAUACAUAUACAUACAUAAAUAUAUAUGUGAGAAUACAAGGUACUCAAUCAAAAAUCUCUAUAUUGACAGUGAUACACGUUUUCAGAAUGGACUGAAAAAAUUUGAGGUAUAUUACUCUUCUUUUAUUAAUCAUAUCUUAAACUGUUCUUCUGGAUAUAUCUUAACCACAAUUAAAUUUAUAAGGUCUUCUUUUCCCUCUUAUUUUGUUCAUUUUGGUAAAUGAUACACUUUUAACAUUUUAUACCCCGUGAAGAAGGAAAAGUGUCCAAAAGAUGAAGGCGUUCAGAAUUGUUUUUCCUUUCUCUCUUCAUGUACUUAUUCAUACUUUGUUACAUAGGGUACGCGCAGACCAAUACACACACACAAAUCUAUAUGAAAGAGCAUCAAUGGAAGUACGGUUGCAAAGUGAACUUCUCAGUAAUUAAGAUAAGGCAAAAUAAAAGUUCCUUGUGAAACCUUACCUUUCUCCCUUUUACUACAUGUUAUCUUGCAACUUACUGAUCUGGUAGCCUUCCAUUUGUAAACGGGAACCUCCCAUGGUGAGAACCGUCCUCUGAUAGCAGGCAGUAAUUUGUUACAGAGUUAGCUUUACUGUGCGGUAGUUGCUUCCACA